AAAAGAGAAAAAGACAGAGAAGAGGACGAUGUUCAUGUCAGCUGACUCUCUUGUUAGGACGUCCCUCUAAACUUUCAAGUUAAAUUCAGCUGGUGUCUGGUUGUAUUUUUCAGUUUAGUAAAGAUGCUGUAAAUAUUUUCUUUCUUGACAUUUUGUGAGUUUGUGUUGUUGAUUUAUUGGACUCAGAAGAAUCAGACCUGCGUCACCUCUGGAGCUACAAAGUGCUGUUAGCAGAUAGGACGGGUGGUGCUAGCUGGUUAGCAUGCUAGCUUCGGUACACAGAGACGUCUCUGACAGAACGUCAACACUGUUGUUGCUUCACAUUCUGCUGAUAAUGUUUUUCAGUAGUUUAAACUCAAAUCCUGUUCAAACUUCACACGUUGCCCUUUUAAACCAGCCGAUACAAACUGAUUGAUUACUGAACAGGCCCCGGAGCCCCGGAGGUCAGGGGUCACCUGGACCAGCACCUCUGUCUGAAGUGACCAAACAUCUUCACAUCUGCACGAGAGAAGUCUGCUGAGACGCUCACCUCUCUGCUGUCCUGCGUCUGACUGACAGGCUGCUGCUGCUGGCUGUCUGUCCGCUGCACCGUCCACCUGAUCUCCGCCCGCGGUGACCGAGGGAAACACUCCAGGAAGGUGGAGUUCCCCUCCACACCGUACACCACCUUCACCUCCACCGAGUCUGAAUCUGACGGAGCAACAGAGGGAAAAGAAACUUCAUCUACAUUAAGUGAACAACAAGAGGCUGCGGUCCAUCAGAAUCAAGCCCUCCUCGUCUCUGUUCUGUGGUGUUCCACAAGGUUCUGUUCUGGGCCCAGUGCUGUUUGCUUUGCAUUUGCUUCCUUCUCAGCAGAUAAUAAGCGAUAAAAGCCUGGAUGACAGAUGACACUGACAGUAAAACACUGACAAAUAGUUCCUUUUAUCCCCUGGACGGCGCUGUCUCGAGGGUGAUGGACCGUCUCGGGUCACAAACCUCCGUAGUCCUGGUGUUUUUAUGGGUCGGGCCUCGAGUCUUCUCGAGCAGCAUGUAAACUUUCUGUUUCUCUCUUGUUUCUAUUAGCUGAGUAAUAUUAUAUGGUGCCAAGAGCUCGAUUAGAGAUGGUUACUGGUGCAUUUAAUAUUAUAUAUUAUUUAUUAUAUUAUUAUCGAUUAUUAUAACUCUUUAAAUCCGUAUUAGCAACACUUCCAUAAAUUACAUUCAGUCUGAAACUGAAACGCUUGUUACUUUUUGUUUUCCUCUUGGUUUUAACUGGUUGCCGGCUGCUUUUCCUUCUUUACUUCUCUUGUGAAGCUCUUUGUGUUUUCUGUUUAAAGGCGUUUUAUGAAUAAACUUCUUCUUCUUGCUAAAAUAAACAUGCUAAUUAAUGUAAGUUUCUGAACGGCCCAGUAGACAGUAGACUCAUCAGUUAGCGAGCAGCUGACAGCAGCAGAUUGUGGUCGUCUUUAGAUAAAGUUGUAUAACGGCAUUAAAUCCUCCUCCUCUCUGUUGUUCCUGGGCUUCUGCCGCCUCCUCGGGGGUGAAAAUAUGAAGCUACUGCGAUUAUGAAUGAGGACACGCUGAGCAGGAACAGGCUAAGAAAAUACUGGGUGUUGUUUCAGCCACAGUAAAGAGUGUUGUCACGUCUCCUUCUCCUUCUAGUCCGACCUCUCUCAGCGGGGUUCUGACCCGUCUUCCCUCCUGCAGCCCCUCCUUCCUUCAGACUGAAGCGUAUCUGAAGGUCGCGCUGCACAUUUCUACAUUUUCUCUUUCACUGCAGGAAAUGUUUAUAUUAAAGCUGCAUCUCACGGCGAUGAUCCUC